ACCCAAAUGAAACGCUCAGACACGAACUUCCUGUCAUCAGAUGUUUUAUUAUAUAAACUCAACCAACAUGACGUCUGUACAAAUAAACCACAAGUCUCUAUAAUCCCAGAUGGUCUGAAUUGGCUGAUUUAAAUGCUACUGAUUCACCCCUAAAAUUACACAUAUUUACAAGACAUCCAAACUCAGAAUUUCAUCUUUAAAAAAGUUUCACAGUAUUAUCCAUUUUCAAAAUUAGUUAUCUAUCAAGUUCUACCUUAUAAUCCCACAAAUAACAUUGACAAGCAGCAAACGUCACACAAAAAUCACAAUAAAACCCAACAGAACUUCUGAGUCACCCAAAACAACUGAAUAGUUUCAAGUAAGCAGAAAGACUGAAAGGUGAGACUGAUCUGAGAAUAAAUAAGGGAUUAAAAUGCGUGCCGUGGCUGCUGAUGCUGAUUCAGGAAACUAAAGGUGUUUGAGUCAUUUUCAGAUUUCAGCUGAUGAAACAACACAUUUUAAACCAAGUGAUGUGAUCGCAGCACUCUGCUCAUUUACGAUCAUUUAUCAGCAGCUUCUGGCUCAUUUAUUGAGGCCUGAUCAUUUUUCAAAACAAACUCUGCAGCUUCACACAAAAAACAUUCUACUUGAACAAAGUUCAAACUGAAAUAAUGGCUGAUGUGUAUUUCUCUGAAUGUGCUGUGUUUGCUUCACACGCACUCCUCCUUCUAACCGCCUACCACAUAAUAAAUUAAGGUUAAAUAAAACCGACUACCAGACGUUAACAUUCAGCAGCAAGUGUUGCCAGAAAACAAAAGCAAAUAGAUUUUUCUACCAAAACUUCAAUAAAACUGACAAGAAACAUCAUAACACUGACUGUUUUUUUCUUUUUUCUAUAUAUAUAUAAUUCUUUCUUGUAGCUGCUAUAACAAACAUUUACAUGCAGUGUUUCCACCGACAUGGCAGCAGGCUGCUCGCACAAAGACAACUCAGCGUUUUCUACUCUUUUGUGGCGCCUUGGGAACAAACUGCAGACAAACACUAGUUUCUAACUGAUCGACCUGGAAGCUGUGUUUAGCUGAAUUUAUGUUUUUUCUUGCUCAUCGGUUCAUUAACGAGGCAGCUUGGCCGCUGUAUGGUCUUUGUUUUUGGUGAAACAGUUAAUUAAGGAUCUUGUUUCAGACCAUAAUAAAGUGAACAGAAUAAACAGUUUUCUGUCCGUUUGGGACAAACGGUCAACAAACAGUCAGAACUUUAUCAAAGACCUGCUGAAGUGCAGUCUUUGAAAAACUACUGUUCAGGCAAAUUCAUGAGCUCGUGUCUGUUACAGCAACGAGAGUCAAUCCGGCUGCCUUCACAUGUGAUCAGCAGUGCCCACGACUGGUUCAUACGCUGCUGUGCACAAACUGGCCAGUGGCAGAAUGCUUUCUCUGCUACUUGAUGACUGUCUGGCAUAAUGAAUACAGCAUUUACAGUCAUUUUUGCUGUGACUGGAUUCUUUUUUUAGAGAGAAGGGGAGGCAUUUGAGUAAGA